GAUGAACGCUGGCGGCGUGCCUAAUACAUGCAAGUCGAGCGAACAGAUAAGGAGCUUGCUCCUUUGACGUUAGCGGCGGACGGGUGAGUAACACGUGGGUAACCUACCUAUAAGACUGGGAUAACUUCGGGAAACCGGAGCUAAUACCGGAUAACAUUUUGAACCGCAUGGUUCUAAAGUGAAAGAUGGUUUUGCUAUCACUUAUAGAUGGACCCGCGCCGUAUUAGCUAGUUGGUAAGGUAACGGCUUACCAAGGCAACGAUGCGUAGCCGACCUGAGAGGGUGAUCGGCCACACUGGAACUGAGACACGGUCCAGACUCCUACGGGAGGCAGCAGUAGGGAAUCUUCCGCAAUGGGCGAAAGCCUGACGGAGCAACGCCGCGUGAGUGAUGAAGGGUUUCGGAUCGUAAAACUCUGUUAUUAGGGAAGAACAAACGUGUAAGUAACUGUGCACGUCUUGACGGUACCUAAUCAGAAAGCCACGGCUAACUACGUG
rnacentral:rRNA from 1 species